AGGUAACCUUCUCUCUAUAGAUCUUGGGUAUCAAUAUCGUUAUGUUAUCGUUGCGCAGAUAGAUCGUAAAAAAGAUUUUUUGAAAAAUGAACGUAACGGAGAAGCAGAAACAACUUCUUGUUAAUUUUAUGCGGUCUUAUCCUGAUUUUGGAAAAGGUAGAUUGCGGUAUAACCGCGAAAAUAAAAAAAAAUUAGACGAAUUAUGGGAAGAAUUAGCAACAAUUCUCAAUUGUGCAGGUUGCGGUCCUCAAAAAUUGCCAAUAAAAGCAUCAUCCUCUUCAUCAAGUAAUAAAAUAGCAGCCAUGUACAUAGCCAUUUUUCGAG